rnacentral:rRNA from 1 species
UUGAACGCUGGCGGCAGGCCUAACACAUGCAAGUCGAACGGUAACAGGAAGAAGCUUGCUUCUUUGCUGACGAGUGGCGGACGGGUGAGUAAUGUCUGGGAAACUGCCUGAUGGAGGGGGAUAACUACUGGAAACGGUAGCUAAUACCGCAUAACGUCGCAAGACCAAAAAGGGGGACCUUCGGGCCUCUUGCCAUCGGAUGUGCCCAGAUGGGAUUAGCUAGUAGGUGGGGUAACGGCUCACCUAGGCGACGAUCCCUAGCUGGUCUGAGAGGAUGACCAGCCACACUGGAACUGAGACACGGUCCAGACUCCUACGGGAGGCAGCAGUGGGGAAUAUUGCACAAUGGGCGCAAUGCCUAGUAUGCAACGGCUCAUGCCGCGCUGUAUAGAAGAAAGCCUUCGGGUUGUAAAGUAACUUUCAGGCGGGGAGGAAGGGAGUAAAGUUAAUACCCUUGCUCAUUGAACGUUACCCGCAGAAGAAGCACCCGCUAACUCCGUGCCAGGCAGCCGCCGUAAUACGGAGGGGUGCCAAGCGGUUAAUCCGGAAUUACUGGGCGUAAAGCGCACGCAGGGCGGUUUGUUAAGUCAAGAUGUGAAAUUCCCCGGGCUCCAACCUUGGGAAACUGCAUCUGAUACUGGCAAGCUUGAGUCUCGUAGAGGGGGGUAGAAUUUCCAGGUGUAGCGGUGAAAUGCCGUAGAGAUCUGGAGGAAUACCCGGUGGCGAAGGCGGCCCCCCUGGACGAAGACUGACGCUCAGGUGCGAAAGCGUGGGGAGCAAACAGGAUUAGAUACCCUGGUAGUCCACGCCGUAAACGAUGUCGACUUGGAGGUUGUGCCCUUGAGGCGUGGCUUCCGGAGCUAACGCGUUAA